rnacentral:rRNA from 1 species
AAUGCGAUACUUGGUGUGAAUUGCAGAAUCCCGUGAACCAUCGAGUCUUUGAACGCAAGUUGCGCCCGAAGCCACUCGGCUGAGGGCACGCCUGCCUGGGCGUCACGCCUCACGUCGCUCCGCGCAGCCCGCCACUGGCACAAUGUGCUUGUCGGCGUCUCGCGUCGGAUGC